CAGCUUUUGGAGCCAUUGCAGAGCCCUCUACCGAAUCACUUGUUUUCCUUUGGGGCAAUACCAAAUGUGAGGGCCAAAGGGAGAGCAUUAGUACGUGUAGCUGACAUUCUAAAUCAUUUGCAAAGAAAGGAACCUGUUAACUCAAAUGAUGUAAAUGUUGAACUAGAAGGCACCCCGUUCUCUCUUUCUUUUCAAUUUCCUUUAAAGAAUUUAUUCAAGGAUUGAUUUAUUCAUUUUAUUUUAGAUGGUUGUGCCAGAGAUAAAUACACUUAUUCUUAUGGACAGGGAGGUGAAGUUUCAUUGAACUCCAUCAUAUUCGGUUGUGAAUGUCAUUAUGUAACGUGGUUUGAUUUGUAUAUGCUAUAAUUUUUCUAUUAUUUUUUGUAAUCUAUUGAUGGGGAUAUGAAAGUUAUAUUUAUUUCAAAACAUGAAUGGAGCUGGAUGCUAAAGCAAUUUCAUAUAUUUAUUUGCCCAUUCUAUUCAACUGCCACUGUUGUUUAGAAUUGGAUAUUUCUAAAUUGCAUGUGGACAUGGUCAACAGUGCUUAGAUUCUUUCCAAUUUAGGAGUUCCAUGGGUGAUUAAAUUUUACAUGUAUUAAGGAUAAUUAACAAUAACAUUGUUGUUUUUUCUCGAAGGUUCAUGUUGAAUUAAGGAAAUGGCAACUUGGCUGGGUUUUGAAUGCCAUUGUUUCCCUUUGGCUUGUUGCAGUUCUUGUACCGAUUGUUAGAGUGGCCGCUUUUAUAUGGUGGGCAAGACGCAAUAUAGAUCAAAGCAAUUUGGAAAUAAAUUUCAAAUAUUCAAGUAAGUAAUAUUCAUUUUUAUUUUCCUUAUAUGUAAGAACAUUGAAUACUGCAUAACUUCUUAUUCAUUUGUGUAUUGGUUCUUCCUUUACAAAUAUGAGGUGGAUGACAUGUUUGUGAGGGACUUCACCAACAAAACUUCCACCUUUGGACAGGUUUUUGUAUAUAAGUAAUCAGAUUACUCAUUUCCUACGCAAACUGCCGUCAAAGGUUUUGUUAGUUGAUGAACCCUAUUCAGCUGUCGAAAUAAGAUAGUAUCGACAUUGUAGCCGAUGAGCUCUCUUCCUUUGCCUGAGUGUAUCAACGAAAUUGAAAAUGAAGGGAUAAACACUUCUUCAAAAGAUGUCCCAAACGAUCAAUAAGUAAGGUUCUUGGUCCUGAUCGGGAUCAUAUUAAAGCAUUUGGAUAUGGAGUCACUACAUCGAAACCAAUUGGAACUUCACCUCCAAUAAGAAUAUUAAUAGCAACAAUACUCUCCGCAAGUGCACAUUGCUAGAUUGGGGUGGUACAAGAGAGGUGGUUGCUGAAGGUUGAUGGUCCUCAAAUGAUCCUAAAGUUACUGUUCACCAUGUUCCUCUCGGUCCUCAUGCUGUUAGAGUUUGGGUGGAACUGCCAAAGAAAUCGAAAGACCUAACUCAAAGAGCACAUACAUUGAGUUUUUGUAUGUACAUUCUUUAACUAUUCACCUCAAGCUAGCCUUUUUAACUAAAAUCUUUGUGUAUAAACUUAAUUAUUCAUUUAGCUUUUGUUCAUAAUAUUUUUGUUGGUUGAUGAAAGAACAAUUGUACAAAGCACAAGAAUGUGAUGACUAAGAAUUGUACAAAGCUCUAUUACAUUUUUGUAACUAAUGGAUAAUAUAGGUCGAUCAUCUGUUGGAUUAGGUGAUAUAUUAGUGACUAUCUUUUGUGAGAAUACUUAACAAUAGAAAUGGCAUUUUGUGCAGGGCAUUGUAAAUC